GCUCAGGAUGAACGCUGGCGGUAUGCCUGACACAUGCAAGUCGAACGAGAAAACUUUGUUUUCUAGUGGCGCACGGGUGAGUAACGCGUAAGAAUCUACCUUUAGGUAGAGGAUAACAAUUGGAAACGAUUGCUAAUACUCUAUAAGCUGAGAAGUAAAAUAAUAUUAAAAUAUUGCCUAGAGAUGAGCUUGCGUCUGAUUAGCUCGUUGGUAAGAUAAANGCUUACCAAAGCUAUAAUCAGUAGCUGGUCUGAGAGGAUANACAGCCACACCGGAACUUAGANACGGUCCGGACUCCUACGGGAGGCAGCAGUGAGGAAUUUUCCGCAAUGGGCGAAAGCCUGACGGAGCAAUACCGCGUGGAGGAUGAAAGCCUAUGGGUUGUAAACUCCUUUUCUUAGAGAAGAAGUUCUGACGGUAUCUAAAGAAUAAGCAUCGGCUAACUCCGUGCCAGCAGCCGCGGUAAUACGGGGGAUGCAAGCGUUAUCCGGAAUUAUUGGGUGUAAAGCGUCUGUAGGUUGCUUACUUAAGUCAGUUGUUAAAUUUCAGAACUCAAUUUUGAUACCAGCAACUGAAACUAAUAAGCUAGAGUCAAGUAGAGGUAGAAGGAACUCCGAGUGUAGCGGUGAAAUGCGUAGAUAUUCGGAAGAACACCGAUGGCGAAAGCAUUCUGCUGGACUUGUACUGACACUGAGAGACGAAAGCGAGGGGAGAGAAUGGGAUUAGAUACCCCAGUAUUCCUCGCCGUAAACGAUGGAUAUUAGGUAUUAGGUAAAACUAUUUAGUACUGAAGCUAACGCGUUAAAUAUCCCACCUGGGGAGUAUGCUCGCAAGAGUGAAACUUAAAGGAAUUGACGGGGGCCCGCAC
rnacentral:rRNA from 1 species